rnacentral:tRNA from 1 species
UGGCUCAGUUGGUAGAGCAUGGUGUUUGCAACGCCAGGGUUGUGGGUUUGAUUCCUAC